UACGUAGGGUGCAAGCGUUGUCCGGAAUUAUUGGGCGUAAAGAGCUCGUAGGCGGUUUGUCGCGUCUGCUGUGAAAAUCCAGGGCUUAACCCUGGACCUGCAGUGGGUACGGGCAGACUAGAGUGCGGUAGGGGAGAUCGGAAUUCCUGGUGUAGCGGUGAAAUGCGUAGAUAUCAGGAGGAACACCGGUGGCGAAGGCGGCUUUCUGGACAGAAACUGACGCUGAUGCGCGAAAGCUAGGGGAGCAAACAGG
rnacentral:rRNA from 1 species